rnacentral:lncRNA from 1 species
AGUCCUCAGUGGGGGGAGGAGCUUAUGUUUGUUGUGUCUGAGCCGUUUGAGGAUAUGGUGAUUGUGUCGGUUGAUGAUAGGAUUGGUCCUGGGAAAGAUGAGAUACUGGGGAGGUUGUUUAUACCUGUGAGGGAUGUUCCGGUGAGGCAAGAGACUGGGAAGAUGCCUGAUCCACGGUGGUUUAAUCUCCAGAGACAUUCGAUGUCUAUGGAGGAAGAGACUGAGAAGAAGAAAGAGAAGUUCUCUAGUAAGAUUCUGCUUAGGCUUUGUAUUGAAGCUGGGUACCAUGUUCUUGAUGAGUCCACGCAUUUCAGCAGCGAUCUUCAACCGUCUUCAAAGCAUUUGAGGAAGCCGAGCAUUGGGCUUCUUGAGCUUGGGAUUCUCAGUGCUAGGAACUUGAUGCCUAUGAAAGCUAAAGAUGGGAGGAUGACUGAUCCCUACUGUGUGGCUAAAUAUGGGAACAAAUGGGUGAGAACGAGGACUCUUUUAGACGCGCUUGCACCUAAGUGGAACGAGCAAUAUACCUGGGAAGUUCAUGAUCCUUGCACGGUUAUAACAAUUGGAGUCUUUGACAAUGGUCAGACCAACGAUGGUGGUGACUCCAAGGACCAGAGGAUUGGGAAAGUUAGAGUGAGGCUAUCUACGCUGGAGACAGACCGGGUUUACACUCAUUACUACCCGUUGCUGGUUCUUACGCCCGGUGGUCUAAAGAAGAACGGUGAGCUUCAGCUAGCUCUGAGGUACACUUGCAUCUCCUUUGUUAACAUGAUGGCUCAAUACGGAAGACCGUUGUUGCCCAAAAUGCAUUAUAAAACCAAAUGAUUCAUAUGCUGGAGUAAUAAUCAAGAAUAUUCAACACUUUUUCAUUUGAAUAUUCAAAACAAAUGAUUUCGUUGCUAUCUAUUUCUACAAAUGAUUUUGAUAUAUAAAAAAGUAGUAAUAAUACAAUAAAAUAGUUAAAUUUGGGAGGAAUCGAAAAAUGAAUAAAUGACGUCUUCCUCUUGACUUCUGUCUGAAUGCCCCGAGUUUUACUACUCCUCUUUAACACAUCAUCGCUUGUUUUUUUAACAAAAAUAAAAAAUAAAAAUCAAAGAUGAUAAGUUGUUUCAUCUCUCCUCUUCUCUCCUCAUAACUCUUGUUUCAAUUCAAAUCAGUUGUACCACCGAGUCUUUCUUUGCCGGACGUUUUGCCUCUAAACACCGACUUCAAGAAACUCCAAAAAAAUAAUUCCGAUAUGAGCAAACUAGUCGUUGAAAUCGUGGACGCGAGCGACUUGAUGCCCAAAGACGGGCAAGGGUCAGCGAGUCCAUUCGUGGAGGUUGAAUUCGACGACCAGCGGCAGAGAACGCAAACGCGGUUCAAAGAUCUAAACCCUCAGUGGAACGAGAAGCUAGUUUUCAACGUCGGUGACUUGAGGCGUUUGACCAACAAGACCAUCGACGUCACCGUCUACGACGACCGCCGUGAUAACCAGCCGGGAAAGUUCCUUGGCCGCGUAAAAAUCUCCGGCGCGGUUGUUCCGUUAUCGGAAUCUGAAGGCGAUGUGCAGAGGUAUCCACUAGACAAACGAGGUUUGUUCUCUCACAUCAAAGGCGAUAUCGCUCUUAGAAUCUACGCCGCUCCUGUCGACGGCUCAGAUUUCAUUCCUCCGCCGGCAGAGAAGGAGAGCAAGGAGGAGCCUCAGGAGGAGUUUCAUAAUCAAAACCAAAACCAAAACUCAUUCGAAGAGGUUUACGUGGAGACGAUGAAGCCGAAGAAGAAAGAGAAAGAAACAAGAACUUUCCACUCGAUCGGAGCUGAGCAAUCGUUUGAAGCAAAGCCGCCUUCGCACCUUCCUCCUAACCAACCGGAGUUUAGGUCAGAUUUCAUGAGAGCUCCGGGACCACCGCCCGGCGCCGUGAUGCAGAUGCCACUACCACCGAGACAGAAUCCUGAGUUUCAGCUCAUCGAAACCAGUCCUCCGUUAGCAGCUCGGAGGCGACAGUCGUACUAUUACCGGAGCAGCGGAGACAAAACCUCGAGCACCUACGACCUCGUGGAGCAGAUGCAUUACCUCUACGUCAGCGUGGUCAAGGCUCGAGAUCUCCCCGUGAUGGACGUCUCCGGUAGCUUAGAUCCUUACGUGGAAGUGAAGCUUGGCAACUACAAAGGCUUGACGAAGCAUUUGGGGAAGAAUCAGAACCCGAUCUGGAAACAGAUCUUCGCCUUCUCUAAAGAGAGGCUGCAGUCGAAUCAGCUUGAAGUCACUGUUAAAGACAAAGAUCUCAUCACCAAAGAUGAUUUCGUGGGAAGAGUAUUGAUCGAUCUCACUGAAGUUCCUCUCAGGGUGCCUCCGGAUAGUCCUCUCGCUCCACAGUGGUACAGGCUCGAGGACAAGAAAGGGAUGAAGACCAACAGAGGAGAGGUCAUGCUUGCUGUUUGGAUGGGAACUCAAGCUGACGAGUCGUUCCCUGACGCUUGGCACUCUGACGCUCACCGCGUUAGCCACUCGAACCUCUCCAACACUCGCUCCAAAGUUUACUUCUCGCCGAAGCUGUAUUACCUCAGGAUUUAUGUGAUGGAAGCUCAAGAUCUUGUUCCCUCUGAUAAAGGGAGAGUACCUGAUGCUUUCGUUAAGAUUCACGCGGGGAAUCAGACGAGAGCGACGAGGACGCCUCAGAUGCGGACAAUGAGCCCUCAGUGGGGCGAGGAGCUUAUGUUUGUUGUGUCUGAGCCGUUUGAGGAUAUGGUGAUUGUGUCGGUUGAUGAUAGGAUUGGUCCGGGGAAAGAUGAGAUACUGGGGAGGUUGUUUAUACCUGUGAGGGAUGUUCCGGUGAGGCAAGAGACUGGGAAGAUGCCUGAUCCACGGUGGUUUAAUCUUCAGAGACAUUCAAUGUCUAUGGAGGAAGAGACUGAGAAGAAGAAAGAGAAGUU